UUUAACAUUAGUUCUAUAAUUACUAUACUACUCUUUAUUUUUAUGAAUUUAUUUAAUACCCAAGUAUUAGAUUUCUAAAUAUUAUAAUUUCUCAUACAUUGAUUCUUUAGAUGCUGUAAACCAUAUUUUAUUUACAUUUGAAUUUGAAGACAUUAAUUAUCAAAGGAAAAACUUCAAAAACCCCCCCUGUGGUUUCAUAGUUUCUCACUUUGCCGCCCUGUGAUUUAAAAUGUAUCAAAUUGCCCCCCUGUGGUUUCGUUUUUAUCUUUUCGGUAGCUUUUUCGUUAAUAUUUCAUUAAAUUAUAUACAAAAAAAACUUCAAAUACUCAUCUAGAUUUAUCAAAUAUUCACUUUAGUACUCUUUAAAUUAACUUUAUCACUGAUUUAAGAAAAAAAAAAUAAUGAAAUUGAUAAGAAAAAGAGAAAAAAGAAACCACAGAGAGGCAAAUUGAUACAUUUUAAACCACAGGGUGGCCAAGUGAGAAACUACGAAACCACAGAGGGUUUUUUUGAAGUUUUCCCAUUAUCAAAACAAAGAU
rnacentral:lncRNA from 1 species